rnacentral:rRNA from 1 species
AGAGUUGAUCCUGGCUUAGGAUGAACGCUAGCGACAGGCUAACACAUGCAAGUCGAGGGGCAGCAUAAAAGUAGCAAUACUUGGUGGCGACCGGCGCACGGGUGAGUAACGCGUAUGCAACCUACCUAUCAGAGGGGAAUAACCCGGCGAAAGUCGGACUAAUACCGCAUAAAACAGGGGCACCGCAUGGUGAUAUUGUUAAAGAAAUUCGCUGAUAGAUGGGCAUGCGUUCCAUUAGGUAGUUGGUGAGGUAACGGCUCACCAAGCCGACGAUGGAUAGGGGAACUGAGAGGUUGGUCCCCCACACUGGUACUGAGACACGGACCAGACUCCUACGGGAGGCAGUAGUGAGGAAUAUUGGUCAAUGGGCGGGAGCCUGAACCAGCCAAGUCGCGUGAAGGAAAGAAGGAUCUAUGGUUCGUAAACUUCUUUUGCAGGGGAAUAAAGUGCAGGACGUGUCCUGUUUUGUAUGUACCCUGAGAAUAAGGAUCGGCUAACUCCGUGCCAGCAGCAGC